CUUAACUGACGCUAAAGCUCGAAGGUGCGGGUAUCGAACAGGAUUAGAUACCCUGGUAGUCCGCACGGUAAACGAUGGAUGCCCGCUGUCGGCGACAGACUGUCGGCGGCCAAGCGAAAGCGUUAAGCAUCCCACCUGGGGAGUACGCCGGCAACGGUGAAACUCAAAGGAAUUGACGGGGGCCCGCACAAGCGGAGGAACAUGUGGUUUAAUUCGAUGAUACGCGAGGAACCUUACCCGGGCUUGAACUGCAGGAGAACGAUCCAGAGAUGGUGAGGCCCUUCGGGGCUCCUGUGGAGGUGCUGCAUGGUUGUCGUCAGCUCGUGCCGUGAGGUGUCGGCUUAAGUGCCAUAACGAGCGCAACCCCUUUCGCCAGUUGCCAUCAGGUGAUGCUGGGCACUCCGGCGACACUGCCACCGUAAGGUGUGAGGAAGGUGGGGAUGACGUCAAAUCAGCACGGCCCUUACGUCCGGGGCUACACACGUGUUACAAUGGGUGGUACAGAGAGUCAGCGGCCGGCAACGUCCGCUCAAUCAAGAAAGCCAUCCUCAGUUCGGAUUGGGGUCUGCAACCCGACCCCAUGAAGCUGGAUUCGCUAGUA
rnacentral:rRNA from 1 species